GAUUCCGAGAUGUCCUCAUGGAGCAUUUUCAAAAGGCACUAACUGUUCCAGGAGUAAAAGGGCAGAUCUGUAGCCCCCUCCAAGAAGCGCACCAAGACUUCAGUGCAGUUCACGAGGAUGAGAACGGGAUGAAAAGCAGGCGAACGUUAAGCUCGUGCCUGUGAAUUGUGGAGUUGGAAGGGAUUCACUGGACUGUUUUUCAGCAUAAAGAAGCUAACACUGCUUAUACACUGCACAUCCUAUGACUGUUUAGCCCUAGUUAAAUAAUAAUUCUUUUCUAGUACAGGUUGAAACUCUGUAGCCCAGCACUCCUGGGAUCCGACUGCUGCCGAACCAGAGAAUUUGCUGGACCGUAGGAGGUAAAUAUUGUCUAGCAGCAUUACCAACCCUUCCACUGCUUGUUGGCCUCGUAGAAGACACUGAGGGGUAAAAAACAGCACAGAACACUGAGAUCCAGGACUGGGGGCUGAAAACAAACUUUAUGGGACUGUGGGACACUUGGCCACACCCAGGAUAAGUGGGCAUCUGGCUAACUGCAAUCAUGCCGGACCACGGAUGUUGUGGGAUCAGACACUGCUGGACUAGAGAGGCUCAACUAGUAACAACGGCAGUCGGAAAGUCCUGUGGACAAUCUCCCAGACACAGAUCACUGAGUGAGGGUAUUGGAAGCGGGAGACCCCCUUGCACCACAGUUGUGCUCUCUCCCCUAGGGCAAGUCAGCUCAGGUUUGUCUUCACCGCAAGCUCAAGUUGACUCCUCUUGACCCAGCGAGGGUCAACACGAUCCAGGAGCUGCACACUGAGGAGUUGUAGGAGUCGCUUCAUUCCCCCUUGCCUCACUAACUCAAAUGGCAGCCACACUUGGCCUGCCGCCCGCAUCCUGACAGGCCAGUUCCCUUGAGGUGAGAGCGCUACUGAACUCAAGCUAGAGGCCUGCGUGGGUGGAGAUCAGCGCUGGAUUUACACCUGGAGGUAACGCCACAGUGAAGACGAGCCCGUAUGCUUCUCUGGGUCCCAGCUCGCCAUCUGUCAAACGCAGACAAGAGACCCGUCUGACCUCACAGGAGUGUUGGGAGGAUAAAUACAGGAACAACUGUGAUGCACCCAGUUGCUAUGGUAACGGGGCAGGGGAGGAGAUAGAAAUACCUAAGGUAGCUAGAUGGAAUUGUUAUUCUUAACUACCUAAAUAUUGCAGCUAGGGAGAAAUUCUGGGUUUCUUGUGUUGCUUUUCACAGAAGAAGGACCAUUGACUGGGUAUCAGGACCAAAUAUCAAUUUGGCACAUCUCGCAGCAAAUUAACCCAACGAUCCCUAAUGAGUAUGUUUAUGCUAGCAUGAACGUGGGAGGACAAGGUCAUGUUUGCAAUGACAGACUGAGAUGCUACAAUUUAGUGGAAUCCUCUUCGCUGGAACAUUCAGACGGAAGGAGAGAUGUGCCAACAAUGUGAUGGUCCCUGCUAUCAUGGAGUCACAAGAAGAAAGCUCAAAUACUGGACUGUCCAGUUCAAAACUGGCUACCUGGCAAUCCUAUCAAGAACUAACGUACAACAGAUCCGCAUCGCUCCCCGAUCUGAUGAGUCAAUCUGCCUGCAGAGACAGCAACGUUGCACCCAGCCUGAUUCUAUGCCAGUGUGUGGGGAGUUUCAUAUGUAAAUUGGGUCACCCAGAUUGAAAGCAUUUUUAAAGUGUAAUGUUCUCGCUAAUUCUUAUGCGGCAUUUCUAACCGAUCCAGUGAAAUCAAUUCAGCCUUGAUGAGUAUGGUUACCACUUGUAUUAAACUCAAGGGGAAUUACACCUACUAAGAUCUGGGCUGAAAUUAGCCUAAUCGUUCCACAACGAUAGCCUCCUAUGGUGAAAUAAAGAAUAUCAUUUAAAUAAAUAUAAUGCCGGCACCUCGACAGAUAAAAUACAGAUACGUUGGCAAGGGGAGGUAACAAAACAAUAUUGUUAGCUGAGGCCAAGAAUUUAGCAAGAUUAUAAAAGGGACUGGAGACAUGUAAUUGCUAACAAGAAUAUCUUGAGUUAUGAUGGUUAAUGCUAAUAAAACUUUUGGAAGGAACAUUAACCUCAUCUUAAGCCAGGGCUGGGCUAUAUGCAGCCCUGAGGCCAGAUCCGGCCCACCUAACAUUUAGAUUUGGCCCACGGACUGCCUCUGGCUGCUUUCUAUUAAUAUCCUGUUACCCGAGCCACCAAAUUUCCAGGUGA